GCUGAGAUGGUUCAGUUGGUAGAGCAUAAGACUCUUAAGCUCAAGGUCAUGGGUUCAAGCGCAUUGGGGAAAAAUUCCUGCA